UUCCGGCGGCGCGAGAACGGCAGUGCGAGCCGAGCCCGAGAAGGAGCGAGCCGCGCGACCUGCUGGCGCGCGAGGAGAUGGUGCCGUGUCCGGGCCGCUGACCGACGCCCCCGAAUAUGGGACAAUGUCGGCCCAAAGUGUCAACUGGCCGCCCCCGUCGUCCUCGGCGGCGCCGCCACCACCGCCGCUGCCUCUGCUGUUGCUGCUCUGCCUCGCAGGCUGGCACGGAGCACUGGGACUAGCGCCAGUUCCGUUGCGCAACGUGAGCGUCGAUGUUGGCGACAACGUAACAGUCGUUUGCUCCAACGAGGGUAGGGCGCAAAUUUUUGGGACAAGCAACAAGAUAACGUGGAUACGUGAGGGCCGAGAGGAUGGUCAGAGCAAGCGGCUGACGGUCGAGCCCAGUGGUCUUUUGAAGCUCAUAAACGUCAGUCGAUUCGAUACGGGAGAUUAUUAUUGUACUUUGGACGACGAUGCUGUGAGAGAUAGGAUCAGUGUCCAAGUAAGAACGCCUCCUCCAGCUCUGCACAAUGUUUGGGUUAAGCCGUCGACUAUAUUGGCGAAUAUUCUGUGGGAAGUAGCGGGCACCGGAGGUUAUCCCAUCAUCGACUUUACGGCGGAGUAUCGCUUGAAGCCGAGUCCCGGUGACGAGGCCGAUGACUGGAAGCCCAUUAUUCCUACGCACAUUCCUCCUAAUUCCAGGCAAAUAGACGUAUAUCAUUUAGAACCGAACACGACAUAUUCCUUUCGAGUAUGGGCGACCAACCAACUUGGAAGAGGAGACAUUGUCGAGGUAGAAGGUCACACUCAUCACAGCGUCGAAGAAUUAGAAUUAGCAAGACACUUGCUGGCAGGAGUUGAAAAUUUUGAUACGCGCGUGUGGGUGGCAGCAGUGGGAAUUGUUAUGGGAACACUGAUGGUUCUUGGGUUCGGUACAUGCUACCUGUUGUAUCGGGAGUGCAAGGCACCCUCGCAGCUGGAGGAGCAGGAAGUGAUUGAGCUGGUGCCCAACAUAAUACUGAAUCCGGGCUUCUUUGACGAGAGGACGGAACGCAUACCGCAGGACGAGAACUUCAACAAUCAGACGACGACGCGCCUAAACAACAACACCGUCGUGCAGCCAAGACGACUUUAGCGACUGAUAUUCACUUAGGCUUUAAGCGGCCGUGCAAGAGAUAACGAGGCGCGCUAAUAACGCGCUGCGUGUCCACGUGCUCGGGCCUGAUCGAGGACGAGUCCCCGAUUGUCCCACGAAAUUGUCUAUUUAGCAACAAAGUAAAGAGUAACUUUUAAUCAACGGAAAGAAAAUUAUUCUUGUAAUUAUGGAACCAAGAGGUCGGCGUAUGCGUAGUGAGUAGGUUAUUUAGAUCCAUUUCAUCGAGACAAUUAUAAUUAUCUGCCAUUGCGAUUUCAUUAUAAUAACAGAGAAAUUCAGUAUUUAGCAAUUGAGUGGGAAUUAUUAAAAGAUGCGCGUCUUUCUUCAGUAUUAUUAUAAUUGAAAUAUCGACGGAAAACAAUUUACCAUAUUAAUUGUGUCGAUUUAAAGAGAGAAGAUAAAAGAUGAAAAAUAAAAAUAGAAAUAAUCGUCGUAUUUUUUAAUAUUCGUCAUAGUUUCUAAUAAGUUAAGAUAUUUCUAAGAGAUUUUCACUAUUCGCUUUGAACGUCUUGAUAAUAAGCUUUACGAUUAUUUUGUAAAAGUGGCAGAUAUUUUCAUUCAUAUCAUCAUUAUAGUCUGGAAUACCUACCUACCUGAUAAAAAAUACCUUGGAAUAUUUUGAAAGUCUUUUACACUUUUUAUUUAUCAGACAUCAUUUCUCGUUCUCUAUAGGUGUCUGGCGAUUCGAUUUGUAAAAUAGAGAACUUGUAAACAGCGUUCAAAA